ACCUGGCUGGCUCAGUUGGUGGAGCAUGUGACUCUUGAUCUUGGGGUUGUGAGUUUGAGUCUCAUGUUGGGUG
rnacentral:tRNA from 1 species